rnacentral:lncRNA from 1 species
GGUUUUGAAAAAUCAAGAAUCCAAAAAUUUGGAUUGAAUUAAGCUCUAUUGCGGUAUGAAAUUAUAAAUGUUUAUUUAAUCAUUUUGUUUUAAAAAUAUUUAAUUAAUUUGCAUGCAUGUAAAUAUAAAUUUGUUAAUUAGUAAUUAUGAAAUUGAAUGAUUUGAAAUUCUAUCAAUAAUAAUUAAUUUGCAUGAAAUUAUUAAAUUGUUAAUUAAUAAUUAUGAAAUUGAAUCAUUUUAAAUUUUAUCAAUAAUUAUUAAUUUGCAUAAAAUUAUUAAUUAAUUAAUAAUAAUUAAAUUGAAUUAAUAAUGAUUAAUUAAUUUGCAUGAAAUUAUAGAAAUGUUAAUGAAUAAUUAUGAAAUUGAAUGAUUUUAAAUUGAAAUAAAAAUUAUUAAUUUGCUAAUUAUUUGUUAAUAGUAAUUAUUAAAUUGAAAUGUUAAUGAUUAAUUUGCCUGAAAUUAAAAAUUUGUUAAUGAAUUAAUAAUUAUUAAAUUGAAUGAUUUUAAAUUGAAAUAAUAAUCAUUAAUUUUCCAUGAAAUGAUUAAUUAAUUAAUUAUUUGUUUGUUUAAAAAAUAUUAAAUUAAUUAAUUUAAUAUUUUUUUAGAUUUUAAGAAAUGCUACGUAGAGUGAAGCAAUUACCUCGUAGGAGGGCUCUACCACCCAAUCCCCAAGAUGGUUUCCGGUUUUAUCUCCCGGUUCAUCCAGCACCGGCCUAUCCCGCACCGCCGGAACCUGUUCGUACAGCACCGGCCUAUCCCGCACCGCCGGAACCUGUUCGUCCAGCACCGGCCUAUCCCGCACCGCCGGCACCUGUUCGUCCAGCACCGGCCCCUCCAGUUCCGCAACCAGCAACUCCGAAGAAAGUCGUUUAUGAAACGGAUUCGGAAUAGUUCAAUAAUUAGCUAGAUUUUCCCAAAAAAAUUGAACUAUAAGUAAUAUUGUAAUAGUCAAUUAAUUUUUAUCUAAUUAAUUAUAAUUCGAUAAAAAUUUUAAUUUUUAGGAUAAUGUCGAACGUUAUGAAAGUACCCGAUAAAGCUUGGAUGAGUUGAGAUCGGUUUUCGAAAGAAUACGGCGAAGGGUUAACAGCUUUCACUAAUUUCGCCAUUUCGAAUUCGACUCACCCAGAAGGUUAUUUACCUUGUCCAUGCUCGUCCUGCACGAAUAGUGAAGUGAUUCCUAUAAAGGAGAUGAGGAAACAUGUUUUCAUAAAUGGUUGGUUGAAACAUUACGAUGUUUGGACACGUCACGGAGAGUUACCGAGUAGAUACGGUGAGAAAAAAGUGAAACGAAAAGAAACAGUGCCGGAAACUGGUAACGAUAUGAUUGGAUUGGUUCGUGCGGUUUACGGAGAACAUGUAGUUGACAAUACAGCCGACGAAGAUUUUCUCGAAACAGAACCUCUCGAAUACGAACCAGUCCAUGAAGAUCCAGUCGAUGUAGAUCCAGUCGACGAAGAUCCAGAGCAGAGAUAUGACGAUUCGUUCUUACGCCGUCUAAAAGAAGGUGAAGAACAGUUAUAUCCAGGUUGCACUGAGUUUUCCAAACUAUCUUUUAUCUUGGAAUUGUAUCAGUUGAAGUGCGACAAUCAUUGGAGUGAUAAAAGUUUUCAGAAAUUAUUAUCCAUCAUGCGUCGUGCUAUUCCAAAUGGGGAGUCGAGCAUUCCGAAAACCAUGUACCAUGCGAAAUCGGUAGUUCGUGACCUGGGCCUCAAUUAUACGAAAAUCGAUGCAUGUCGCAACGAUUGUAUUUUAUAUCGAAAUGAAUAUGCAAACGCAGAAACUUGCCCGAAUUGCGGAACGUGCAAGUGGGUCGUCGAAGGCGUUCAGAAAAACAAACGUGUUCCAGCGAAAUGUCUUCGCCACUUUCCGUUGAUUCCACAUUUGAAGAGAUUGUAUCUGUGUUCCAAAAUUUCUGAAGACAUGAUAUGGCACCAUUCCAAACGUAAGGACGACGGAUUUCUUCGGCAUCCAGCAGAUUCUUUACAAUGGAAGAAAUUUGACGAGGUUCAUCCUAAAUUUGCAUCCGAACCUCGUAAUGUGAGACUUGGUUUAGCAACUGAUGGAUUCAACCCGUUCAGUCAGCAAUCUCUAUCUCAUAGUACUUGGCCAGUGAUAGUUAUACCGUACAACCUUCCACCUUGGAUGUGUAUGAAACAACCGAAUUUCAUGUUGUCUCUACUAAUUUCCGGUCCGUCAGCUCCAGGGAACGAUAUAGAUGUCUAUCUUCAACCGCUUAUUGAUGAACUGAAGAUUUUAUGGGCAGAAGGUGUUACAGCUUUUGAUGUACGUACGCAGAAAUCUUUUAAGAUGUUUGCAUCACUUCUGUGGACGAUACAUGAUUAUCCAGGAUACGGUGAUAUAUCAGGGUGGAGCACUAAAGGAAAGUUAGCCUGUGCAGUAUGUAAGAACGACACUGAAAGUAUUCGUUUAGAGCAUGGAAAGAAAGAGAGUUUUAUGGGGCAUCGUCGAUUCUUAGAUAUGAAACAUUAUUAUAGGAGCGAUAAGAAAAGUUUCAAUAAUCAGAUCGAAACUAGAGUCGCCCCUAAACGUCUGACGGGUUCUGAAAUAUAUAGUCAGGUGUAUCCGUUUCGAGAUUCAGUAAUUUUGGUAAAACAUCGAAUGUACCAAAAGAUUGUAGACCGUCGACGAAAAGAACGAAAAAAAUACCAUUGCCCAAAGGAUGGAAGAAAAUGAGUAUUUUUUUCGAAUUACCGUAUUGGAAGACGUUGCUUCUACGACACAAUAUUGAUGUUAUGCACACCGAAAAGAAUGUGUGUGACAAUAUUUUGAACACUAUUUUGGAAAUGGAUGGUAAAACGAAAGAUAAUUUGAACGCGAGGUUCGAUCUACAAUCGAUGGGAAUCCGAAAAGAACUUCAUCCUAUUCGACGGGGAGAAGAAUGGGACAUUCCGAGUGCGUGUUUCAACUUAACGACGAAUGAAAAAAUAUUAUUUCUGUCAGUGUUCAAAUCCCUCCGACUUCCCGAUGGAUAUUGUUCAAACAUUUCUAGAAACGUGAAAAUGAAAGAAAGAAAAUUUAUCGGAUUGAAAAGUCACGAUUGUCACGUUAUAAUGCAACAGUUACUUCCUAUUGCAUUAAGAAAAUCGACAAAACCUGUAGUGACAUCUGUUCUCGUUGAACUUUGCGGAUAUUUCCACGAUAUUUGUUCGAAAGUAAUCGAAAUCAAACUUAUGGAACGAUGGGAGAAAAGAAUCAUAUAUACAUUGUGCAAUCUUGAGAAAAUCUUUCCUCCCGGUUUUUUUACUGUAAUGGUUCAUCUGACGGUCCAUCUAGCAACCGAAGUGAAAAUAGCUGGACCGGUACAAUAUCGAUGGAUGUAUCCGAUAGAGAGGUAUAUAUAUUUAAUUAUACAAUUAUAAAUAAAUUUAUAAUUAAUAUGUCUUAAUCAUACAAUAUAUAUUCUCAUUUUAGGUAUCUUUUGACUCUAAAAAAUCAUGUGACCGUACGUAGUCACCCGGAAGGAUCUAUUGCGGAGAGUUAUCUGGCUGAAGAGUCAAUGACAUUUUGUUCUCGGUUUUUACAAAAUGUCGAGACUAAAUCAAAUCGCCCAGAUAGGUAUAUCGAUGGGUUUUUAAAUGCACCGACUGAUAUAACGUUGAGUACUUUACAACAGAAACAGUUGCAUCAAUGUAUAUUGUUUGAUCUUGAAAGUGUCGAACCAUAUCGAAAUAAACACUUGAAGCAAUUGAAAGUUAUGUUUCCAAAACACACACAGCUUCGUCUGGAAAAUUUACACUUCAAGCAAUUUGCCGAUUGGUUUAAGAAACACAUGUCCGAAGCUCAACAAUCUGACACAGAUUUGAAUUCUAUUUCCCGCGGACCAAGUUGUUUUGCUUCAAUUUAUAUUGGUUACAUUAUGAAUGGAUUAAAAUUUCAGACGUCAGAAUUGACAAAUCGUAGAUCGACGCAAAAUAACGGUAUUUUUCUAUCGGCUACAAUAUCAACGUAUGCAAAAUCUCCAAAUGAUGCUCCGUUGGUAGCAGAAAUUGAAUAUCAUGGAUUAUUAGAAAAUGUCUUCGAAAUUUGCUACGGUCACACGACGAAAUAUUGUCUGUUUGAAUGUAAGUGGUACAAUCCUGGAAAAGCAGGUACUAAAGUCGAUGAUUUUGGUGUCGUUUCAGUCAACACGACACGGGGGAAAUUUGGAAAGGAACCAUUCAUUUUGGCAAAUCAAGCUCAACAAUGUUUCUACAUUCAAGAUCCGGUAGAAUCUGAAUGGAGUUCAGUCCUUAAAAUACCAAAUAGAGAUAUUUUCGAUGUUGAUAAUGAUGAUUGUUGUAAUUAAAUUAUAAAGUAUUACAUUACAGUAUAAUUUAAUAUUUUCAAUGUAAUAUCAUGUUGAUUAUAAAUAUUUCUUUUUUUCAGUCAAACAUGAGUCAACUACUUGCAAUCGUCGCACGAUAUGAACGACUAGAGCGACUUAAACAGAUUCAACGUAGUUUUCACAAAAACUUAGAUUAUUAUUGUCGUGUUUUUGCUUGUUUCCGUUGCGGAGUCAACGGUCAUCAUUUUCAGAACUGUCCAAAAUUAUGGUCGACAAAUCCUCAAACAAUGGAAACCGGUCAGAUUUUAGUGUUAGGAUACGAGGCUAGAGUGUUGAAUGAUUGUGGUAGCACACAUUCAUUCAAAAUCGAAUACAACUCUUCUCACGACGACUUCGAAGAUUUGUUGUGUUUAAUAAUAAAGAAUGUAAAUUACAAUAGGAAAAAUGUUUGGUUGUUGUGUCAGACCAAGACCCCAUAUACGGGUGUCUGGCUAUGUAUUUAAAAUAACUGAUUUUAUUUUCAAAUUUAAACAUUUCAGAUUAUGUUUACUGUUUUCGUUCUGCUUGGUGUCAUCACACCUUUCAUGGCAUUAGCGAUGGUUACAUCCCGUCGCUCUUUCGAGGAGUCUAGUUCGAGUGGUCAGUUUAUUAUUUAUAUUUUAAAUAUUAUCAUGAUUUUUAUUAAAUAUUAAUUUUUAAAUAUGUAAAUUAAUUAGAUGCGAGGCCAUCCACUUCAAAUGUGCCUCCACAAAAGAAGGGUCGUGGUCGCACAAAAGACCACCCCCAUAACCAUCCAGAGAAAGGUACGAAGUGGAAGGUUAUGUUUGAUAACACAAACCAAGCCACGGAUGAAACGGCGAAGAAGUUAACGACAAGAAUGGCUCUUUUAGCAAAAGACCAUACUCUUUUUCCGUACGACAUUGAGUGGCGUCAUCAACCACAACAGAAUUUCCAAGACGCGCUGAAAAUAUUAACUGUAAGUCUAUAAUUUUUUAUAUAAUUUAUUAAUUUUCCAAAACUUAUGAAUAUGAUUUAAGUGGAAGCAAAGCUGCACAAACUUACAUCAAUGGCAGACUGAACAAACUCUGGAGGAGCAACCAUAAUUCGCUGAUUAAAACUUAUGGCUCUGAUCCUGAUAUGACAGAACAAGACAUCUUAGCGACUCUUCCGCCGUAUGUCAGCAAACCUCAAUUUCUAAAUAAAUUAAGACAGCAUCGUUCGGAAAAAGGAAAGGUACGUAUAUGUAUAUAUAUAUAUUUAUUAUAAUAAUUAAUUUUGAAACUUAUUAUUUUUUUUAAUUUCAGCAAAUUUCCGAGAUAAACACCGCGAACCGAGCGAAUCAAAUGACACAUCACGUUGGUUCAAAAGGAUUAGCGCAAAGACGUCAUGAAUUGGUAAUUUAUUUAUAAUUUUUAUAUUUUUUUUAUAUAUUAAUGAUUUAUGUGAAUAUAGAUGCAACAAGGAAGGAGUAAAGUCGAAGCUUGGUCAGAGACUUUACAAAUUACUUAUAAAGGAAGCGAUAAAGUUGUAAGUAUUUUUUAAAAAUUAUUUAUAUUUUAUAUUUUCUAAUUUCUAUUUUCAUUGUUUGAUUUUGUUAUUCUUUCAGCUUGAAGCCACGGAAUUUAUUAAAACUCCAGAGGCAAAAUCGUGGACUGAAUCUGAAUCAAUGACUCCAAUUGUAAGUUCCAUUGAUUAUUUUAAUUAUAUUUCGUUUUUCUUAUUUUUUUUUUUUAUAACGCAGCAAUUUAUCGAAGCGACGGUCAACAAGACUUUCGGCAAAAAUAGGAAGAAUCGAAUAAUUGGAAUCGGAGAAGCUGCAAGUAUGGUGAGCACAACAAACGAAAG